rnacentral:lncRNA from 1 species
GCCACCAUAGUUUAUUCUGGAAAACUAUGGAAAAAACCAUAAAAAGGAUAAGGCUUAGUCUAUGAAAACCAGAGCUUCGAUUCAGGAGUCGGUUACGUGUGGGGAAGGUGUUAGCACCCCCACAACGCCUGCCCUAAGACAGUACCUUUAAUUAAAUAUGCGAAAUAAGAUGUGGUUUGCAAAAUGUUUAACUAUCCCAAAGACAACAAUAUAAAGAAACAAAAAUAUUUUUCUUGGUUUUU